rnacentral:rRNA from 1 species
CAGCAGUGGGGAAUAUUGCACAAUGGGCGCAAGCCUGAUGCAGCGACGCCGCGUGCGGGAUGACGGCCUUCGGGUUGUAAACCGCUUUUGAUCGGGAGCAAGCCUUCGGGUGAGUGUACCUUUCGAAUAAGCACCGGCUAACUACGUGCCAGCAGCCGCGGUAAUACGUAGGGUGCAAGCGUUAUCCGGAAUUAUUGGGCGUAAAGGGCUCGUAGGCGGUUCGUCGCGUCCGGUGUGAAAGUCCAUCGCUUAACGGUGGAUCUGCGCCGGGUACGGGCGGGCUGGAGUGCGGUAGGGGAGACUGGAAUUCCCGGUGUAACGGUGGAAUGUGUAGAUAUCGGGAAGAACACCAAUGGCGAAGGCAGGUCUCUGGGCCGUUACUGACGCUGAGGAGCGAAAGCGUGGGGAGCGAACAGGAUUAGAUACCCUGGUAGUCCACGCCGUAAACGGUGGAUGCUGGAUGUGGGGCCCGUUCCACGGGUUCCGUGUCGGAGCUAACGCGUUAAGCAUCCCGCCUGGGGAGUACGGCCGCAAGGCUAAAACUCAAAGAAAUUGACGGGGGCCCGCACAAGCGGCGGAGCAUGCGGAUUAAUUCGAUGCAACGCGAAGAACCUUACCUGGGCUUGACAUGUUCCCGACCGCGGCAGAGAUGUCGUUUCCCUUCGGGGCGGGUUCACAGGUGGUGCAUGGUCGUCGUCAGCUCGUGUCGUGAGAUGUUGGGUUAAGUCCCGCAACGAGCGCAACCCU